AGCAUCUAGAAAAAGUUUCUGUGAAAACCCAGCUUUCCUUAAAAUCAGUUGGAGUUAAUGCUGUUCAGUAACAGGUUCUUCUUAUCCCUAGAGCAACUGCAGAGAAGCCAAUGGAUUUACACCAGCUUUUUCAGACCUGUUCUCCAACUUGGCCACAAAAGGAUCCCUACAUCUUUGCACUUCUAUAAUUUUCAAGCAAUGCAUGAAGCACCUGCUCUCACGUUCCACUAUCUAACAACCAUGCUCAACUACUGACAUGGUGCUUUUUACAUAUGAAUCUGGAAGCUCUUCACAGAGAUACAAAGAUGCAUAUAACAGCAAAUUUUCAUCUCAUAUAGAAUAAAGGUCUUUUCCUCCUGUAUGUUUUCUUCUUUCUGAAGCAUUUCCUACAUUUUGUGAAUGGUGG